rnacentral:lncRNA from 1 species
GGUCGAAGGCCAAACGUUGUUUUUUGGCGCUAAUUCACCUCACCUGAAGUAAACAAACCUUUGGAAGCGAAUGUGAAACUGAAACAAGGAUUCAUUCAAGGAAUUCAACAAAGCUCCACAAAGCCGAAAAUUAAAAUGUGAUGAUCACAACAAGUGGGCAGCUUCAAUCCUCAGUGACAUCACCGAGGAAACACCCUAAUUAUCAGGGUAAGGUUUCCGCCUGCAGGGGGCGAUGUUUUACACACACAUUCACCAGACGCUCUUCUCAUCACAGCACCACAGCGCUCUGCCUCCAGCUUUAAGUGAGACUCGACCACACCGGCUUUUUCAGCAGUCCAAACUGGAUUCAGAUCAUGCCACCGAUACCAUCAGGUCACCAGCGGGUCUGACCGUCAAUUCCCAGCUUCCAGAAACCAUCACUCCCACCUCGGUUAAACGCAACAAAAGACCAGGAUUACUCCAAGCCAUGAAGAAAAUCUGGUCCAAGAAACGCUUUCAGGUGAGUCCUUGCAUGCCUCGUUUUUCAUGCCUUGCAUGUUGA